GAUGAAGAACGUAGCGAAAUGCGAUAAGUAAUGCGAAUUGCAGAAUUCAGUGAGUCAUCGAAUCUUUGAACGCACAUUGCGCCCUGUGGUACUCCGCAGGGCAUGCCUGUUCGAGCGUCAUUUCAACCCUCAAGCUCUGCUUGGUGUUGGGCCCUGCCCGCUGCGGCCGGCCCUAAAGACAGUGGCGGUGCCGCCUGGCCCUGAGCGUAGUACAUCUCUCGCUCCAGUGCCCGGUGGUAGCCUGCCAGAACCCCAACUCUCGUGGUUGACCUCGGAUCAGGUAGGGAUACCCGCUGAACUUAAGCAUAUCAAUAAGCGGAGGA
rnacentral:misc_RNA from 1 species